rnacentral:rRNA from 1 species
UACGUAGGUGGCGAGCGUUGUCCGGAUUUACUGGGCGUAAAGAGCGCGCAGGCGGUCGUUCAAGUCGCGUGUGAAAGCCCCCGGCUCAACUGGGGAGGGUCACGCGAUACUGUUCGACUCGAAGGCAGGAGAGGGAAGUGGAAUUCCCGGUGUAGUGGUGAAAUGCGUAGAUAUCGGGAGGAACACCAGUGGCGAAGGCGACUUCCUGGCCUGUUCUUGACGCUGAGGCGCGAAAGCUAGGGUAGCAAACGGGG